CAGACUCAUCUACAUCUUGGAUGGCCUGAGGAUUUAAUGAGUGAGGAAUAAGGAGUACCAGCAUGCUGUCACAACACAUGGAUGAGGGGUCCUUUCUGCUCAAGCCAAGAAACAAAUCUUCAGUCCCAACAGACUGUUUCAGCACAAUCUCAUACCUAAUCAAAAACGCACAUGGUGCAGCAGGAGAGCCGAUAUGUCCCGGGCCCAUCCUCGCCAAGGGCUUCACUUGCUAAAAA